rnacentral:rRNA from 1 species
AACGAACGCUGGCGGCAUGCCUAACACAUGCAAGUCGAACGAACCCUUCGGGGUGAGUGGCGCACGGGUGCGUAACACGUGGGAACCUGCCCUUAGGUUCGGAAUAACACAGAGAAAUUUGAGCUAAUACCGGAUAAUGUCUUCGGACCAAAGAUUUAUCGCCUUUGGAUGGGCCCGCGUUGGAUUAGCUUGUUGGUGGGGUAAUGGCCUACCAAGGCGACGAUCCAUAGCUGGUCUGAGAGGAUGAUCAGCCACACUGGGACUGAGACACGGCCCAGACUCCUACGGGAGGCAGCAGUGGGGAAUAUUGGACAAUGGGCGAAAGCCUGGUCCAGCAAUGCCGCGUGAGUGAUGAAGGCCUUAGGGUUGUAAAGCUCUUUUACCCGAGAUGAUAAUGACAGUAUCGGGAGAAUAAGCUCCGGCUAACUCCGUGCCAGCAGCCGCGGUAACAC